GACGAACGCUGGCGGCGUGCUUAACACAUGCAAGUCGAACGGAAAGGCCUGCUUUCCCUUGGGGAUUGCGGGUACUCGAGUGGCGAACGGGUGAGUAACACGUGAGUGAUCUGCCCCCAACUUGGGUAUAAGCCUGGGAAAUUGGGUCUAAUUACCGAUAGGACUGCAGGGUGGUGCCUGUGGUUGAAAACGAUUUUCUAGUGGUUGGGGAUGAGCUCGCGGCCUAUCUGCUUGUUGGUGGGGUAAUGGCCUACCAAGGCGGCGACGGGUAGCCGGCCUGGGAGGGUGGACGGCCACAUUGGGACUGAGAUAAGGCCCAGACGCCUACGGGAAGCAGCAGUGGGGAAGAAUGCGCAAUGGGCGGAAGCCAGAUGCAGCGAGGCCGCGUGGGGGAUGACGGGCUUCGGGUGGUAAACUCCUUGCGACCGCGAGGAAGCCACCUGGUUGGAAGGGUGGUGACGGUAGUGGUAGAAGAAGCACCGGCUAACUACGUG
rnacentral:rRNA from 1 species